UACGUAGGGUGCGAGCGUUGUCCGGAAUUACUGGGCGUAAAGCGUGCGCAGGCGGUUUGUUAAGUCCGCUGUGAAAUCCCCGAGCUCAACCUGGGAAUUGCAGUGGAUACUGGCAGGCUGGAGUAUGGUAGAGGAAGGUGGAAUUCCCGGUGUAGCAGUGAAAUGCGUAGAGAUCGGGAGGAACACCAGUGGCGAAGGCGGCCUUCUGGACCAAUACUGACGCUCAUGCACGAAAGCGUGGGGAGCAAACAGG
rnacentral:rRNA from 1 species